rnacentral:rRNA from 1 species
GAUGAACGCUGGCGGCGUGCUUAACACAUGCAAGUCGAACGGUGAAGCAGAGCUUGCUCUGUGGAUCAGUGGCGAACGGGUGAGUAACACGUGAGCAACCUGCCCCGGACUCUGGGAUAAGCGCUGGAAACAGCGUCUAAUACCGGAUACGAGAUUCCACCGCAUGGUGAGUUUCUGGAAAGAUUUUUUGGUCUGGGAUGGGCUCACGGCCUAUCAGCUUGUUGGUGAGGUAAUGGCUCACCAAGGCGUCGACGGGUAGCCGGCCUGAGAGGGUGACCGGCCACACUGGGACUGAGACACGGCCCAGACUCCUACGGGAGGCGGCAGUGGGGAAUAUUGCACAAUGGGCGGAAGCCUGAUGCAGCAACGCCGCGUGAGGGAUGACGGCCUUCGGGUUGUAAACCUCUUUUAGCAGGGAAGAAGCGAAAGUGACGGUACCUGCAGAAAAAGCGCCGGCUAACUACGUGCCAGCAGCCGCAGUAAAAC